GCGUGUGCGCGAGUCAUUGGGUGUAAACCUAAAGGCGCAAUGAAAGUGUCAGGUGGGACUCCUUUAGGAGCUCCCACCGCAGGGAGGAUGGGCCACCGUACAAUUAUUUGUCGGAGCCCCGCACUCCCGGGGCGUCUCGUUCUCAUUGCGAGUAGAGACGCACCAGGAGCGCACACGCUGGUACCCGAAAGAUGGUGAACUAUGCCUGGCCAGGACGAAGCCAGGGGAAACCCUGGUGGAGGUCCGAAGCGAUUCUGACGUGCAAAUCGAUCGUCUGAGCUAGGUAUAGGGGCGAAAGACCAAUCGAACCAUCUAGUAGCUGUUUUCCUUCCGAA
rnacentral:rRNA from 1 species